UUUUUUCAGUGCUGUAAGAAAGGACGGAGGCUGUUAUCUAUGGCAGAUCUAUCCAAUAAAGGAGAGAAAGGACCGCAUACGCCUGGUUCUCAUCAUAUGCAAUAAAGAGUUUGACCAUCUGCCUCCAAGAAAUGGGGCUGACUUUGCCAUCAUGGAGAUGAAGAAGCUGCUUGAGGAUCUGGGUUACAGUGUGGAUGUAGAAGAGAAUCUGACAGCCAGGAAUAUGAAGUCAUUGCUGUGGGCAUUUGCUGCCUGACCAGAGCACAAGUCCUCCGACAGCACGUUCUUGGUGCUCAUGUCUCAUGGCAUCCUGGGGGGAAUGUGUGGAACUGAACAUGAUGAGGCAAACCCAGAUGGGCUGCUUUCCUUCAGGCCAAAGCUGAAGGAACACUUGAAGCCAGGAUUUUGAGACCAAUUGAUUCAUAGCUCUUGGGAGCUAUUUUUCAAAUGAAAGAGAAAACAGAAAUAAUUUUUCUAAAAACUGGUAACUACAAGAUGAUUUCAUUAUCACUAGGCACACUGUUGAAUGACACUUGAGAGAAAACAAAGUGGUAUGUAUGUGUGUGUGUGUGUGUGUUUGUGUGUGUGUGUCUGUGUGUUUGUAUGUGUAUGGGUCUAUGUGUAUGAAACUAGUUAGAAAGAACAUUAAAAAAGAACAAGGGGAUUCUGAUAGCCAUACUGUAGGAGGCACAGUAGUGUGUAGAAAAUUGUUGUCUCUGCAGCAAACCAUGGGGAACAGUGGGUCAGAGACUGUCCAGCAUCUUUGGGAGUCAUGUCUUCACAGUCACCUAAGAACCUGGAGGAUGCAGUUUGCAAGACAUACCAGAGAAGGACUUCAUUGUUUUCUGCUCUUCAACCUCAUGUAUACGUCUUUUGGUGGUAUUAAGUGAUUUGUGGGCCUGAGGCUACCUUUGAAUGAUUCUACCAAAUCAAGAAUCCCUAAGAAACAAUGAUCCGAGGGAAUGUUGUGUGCUCUCCCAUAUUUUACAUGAUCUUAGAUGUGAUGUGAAAACAGAUUCCUUCCCCCUCCCACACCCACGUUUUUAAAAAUUGUACUUUUCUUAUAAGUGUUACAAUUUAAAGCCAAAGGCAUACCAAAUAUUAAAGCAACACAACAUAAGGAAUCCCAUUCACCACACACCAUUUAAACACAAAUGAUGGAUUCUGUUAUUUAUCAAACCCAUUUAAUGUUUUGUGUAGUGUUUUCAUGGAUUCCAGGAAUGGCUUCCCUUUCUCAAAUGAUCAAUUUCAAGUCUUAUUCUCCAUAUUUCCCAUCUGAUUCCACUAUGAGCAGUGCCAUUGCAUGCCCUACUAGAACUGUGGAUACCCUUUAAAACAAGUAGAAGAUGAUAGGGUGGGACUCAUUACGUCUAAUCUUGGGGAACACUGAUAACGUGUCCAGGAGAGACAGCACAAGGGGCUCCAUCUUCAUCACACAACUCAUCGCAUGCUUCCAGAGAUAUUCCUGGCGCUGCCACCUAGAGGAAGUAUUUUGGAAGGUUCAGCAAGCAUUUGAAAGUCCGGAGGCAACAGUCCAAAUGCCCACCAUAGAACGAGUGUCCAUGACAAGAUAUUUCUACCUCUUUCCUGGCAAUUGAAAAUGGUUAAGCAUUGAGAGUUGUUGGUGGUGUAUGAAAUAAAUGAAAGUGUGAUAUUGGAGGAAACCACAAGCAGCCCAGCCCUCCUUUAUCAACUUCAAGAAACACCUUUACUAGUACAGAUUGAAUGCUUAACAUUUUGUAUUUCAAUAAAGGUGAAGACAAAUGAA
ensembl:lncRNA CASP4LP caspase 4 like, pseudogene